AGCUUUGCACAGUGGCAGUAUCAUAGCCAAUGAGUUUUAACUGAGGUGCGAUUAUUGCUAAUUGAAAACCAACUCUGAAAUUCAGAGAUACUAUCUCCUUGCUCAUAAUUGCAGAAUAUGACAUCAUAUUGAUAAUAAAGUAUUUUA